GCGGUAACACCGGCGGCCCGAGUGGUGAUCGUGAUUAUUGGGUCUAAGGGUCCGUAGCCGGUUGGUCAGUCCUCCGGGAAAUCUGAUAGCUCAACUAGUUAGGCUUUCGGGGGAGUACUGCCAGACUGGAACCGGGAGAGGUAAGAGGUACUACAGGGGUAGGAGUGAAAUCUUGUAAUCCCUGUGGGACCACCUGUGGCGAAGACGUCUUACCAGAACGGGUUCGACGGUGAGGGACGAAAGCUGGGGGCACGAACCGGAUUAGAUACCCGGGUAGUCCCAGCCGUAAACGAUGCUCGCUAGGUGUCAGGCAUGGCGCGACCGUGUCUGGUGCCGCAGGGAAGCCGUGAAGCGAGCCACCUGGGAAGUACGGCCGCAAGGCUGAAACUUAAAGGAAUUGGCGGGGGAGCACAACAACGGGUGGAGCCCUGCGGUUUAAUUGGACUCAACGCCGGACAACUCACCGGGGGCGACAGCAAUAUGUAGGCCAAGCUGAAGACUUUGCCUGAAUCGCUGAGAAGAGGUGCAUGG
rnacentral:rRNA from 1 species